ACACUCCUGCGGGAGGCAGCAGUGGGGAAUUUUGGACAAUGGGCGAAAGCCUGAUCCAGCAAUGCCGCGUGAGUGAAGAAGGCCUUCGGGUUGUAAAGCUCUUUUGUCAGGGAAGAAACGGUGAAAGCUAAUAUCUUUUGCUAAUGACGGUACCUGAAGAAUAAGCACCGGCUAACUACGUGCCAGCAGCCGCGGUAAUACGUAGGGUGUAAGCGUUAAUCGGAAUUACUGGGCGUAAAGCGUGCGCAGGCGGUUUUGUAAGUCUGAUGUGAAAUCCCCGGGCUCAACCUGGGAAUUGCAUUGGAGACUGCAAGGCUAGAAUCUGGCAGAGGGGGGUAGAAUUCCACGUGUAGCAGUGAAAUGCGUAGAUAUGUGGAGGAACACCGAUGGCGAAGGCAGCCCCCUGGGUCAAGAUUGACGCUCAUGCACGAAAGCGUGGGGAGCAAACAGGAUUAGAAACCCGUGUAGUCCCAUGA
rnacentral:rRNA from 1 species